rnacentral:rRNA from 1 species
GGUAUAGGUUUUCGGACCUAGAGACCGGCGCACGGGUGCGUAACGCGUAUGCAAUCUACCUUUUACAGAGGGAUAGCCCAGAGAAAUUUGGAUUAAUACCUCAUAGUAUAGCAACUUCGCAUGAAGUCACUAUUAAAGUCACAACGGUAAAAGAUGAGCAUGCGUCCCAUUAGCUAGUUGGUAAGGUAACGGCUUACCAAGGCAACGAUGGGUAGGGGUCCU